rnacentral:rRNA from 1 species
GACGAACGCUGGCGGCGUGCUUAAUACAUGCAAGUCAACUUGACUUUAGAUAGCAAUAUCGAAAAGUAGGGUGGCGCACGGGUGCGUAACGCGUAGGUAAUCUGCCCUGAGGUCUGACAUAACCCGUCGAAAGGCGGGCUAACAUCAGAUGAUAUAUAAUCACGACAUCGUGGAAAUAUCAAAUCUUCGGAGCCUUGGGAUGAGCCUGCGUCUGAUUAGGUAGUUGGCGGAGUAAUAGCCCACCAAGCCUACGAUCAGUAGCUGGUCUGAGAGGAUGAUCAGCCACACUGGAACUGAGACACGGUCCAGACUCCUACGGGAGCAGCAGUAAGGAAUAUUGCUCAAUGGGGGAAACCCUGAAGCAGCAACGCCGCGUGAAGGAUGAAAUACUUUUGAUGUAAACUUCUGUAAGAUGGGAAAAAUAUUCUCCUCGGGAGAAUUGAUUGUACCAUCAGAGUAAG